rnacentral:rRNA from 1 species
AUUGAACGCUGGCGGCAGGCCUAACGCAUGCAAGUCGAACGGUAGCACAGAGGAGCUUGCUCCUUGGGUGACGAGUGGCGGACGGGUGAGUAAUGUCUGGGAAACUGCCCGAUGGAGGGGGAUAACUACUGGAAACGGUAGCUAAUACCGCAUAACGUCGCAAGACCAAAGAGGGGGACCUUCGGGCCUCUUGCCAUCGGAUGUGCCCAGAUGGGAUUAGCUAGUAGGUGGGGUAACGGCUCACCUAGGCGACGAUCCCUAGCUGGUCUGAGAGGAUGACCAGCCACACUGGAACUGAGACACGGUCCAGACUCCUACGGGAGGCAGCAGAGGGGAAUAUUGCACAAUGGGCGCAAGCCUGAUGCAGCCAUGCCGCGUGUAUGAAGAAGGCCUUCGGGUUGUAAAGUACUUUCAGCGAGGAGGAAGGCGUUGUGGUUAAUAACCGCAGCGAUUGACGUUACUCGCAGAAGAAGCACCGGCUAACUCCGUGCCAGCCGCCGCUGUAA